UCCUCUGUGGACUAUAACUGGAGCCCCGAGUCGACCAGAACUUCGGAGACUCCCCCGACACGACAGACGGAUCCCCAUCGUCCGGACCACUGAGGAUCUCGCCUGUGUUGCAGAAUUCUGUUGUGUUUACUUUUUCAGAAGAACCCCGAGGGACAUGAAGACCACCUAAUCCAUGAUAAAACUGGUAAUACUUUUCUGCAUCCUACCACAACCCCAUGGCCAGAAACCAGCUGAGUGGCCGUGGUCUGAACUAAUUGUGGUAGCAUGCAGAAAAAGUGAAAGGAUCUCUUUAAGCACAAAAAGGUGUGUACGCACCCAAGCAUACAGGAUUGUUGGCACAAUUACACAUUAACACAAACUGUAGAAGUAGUUUGGUUUUGGUCCAAAAAUACCGAAGCACUUUUUUUUGUUUUGUUUUGUUUUUGUUUUUGUUUUUUAAGUUUAAAGUAUUGAUUCAAAUACUGGAGUAGGACUUGAUGUUAAUGUUGUGACACCUACCACCCAACCACUGGUUACACUUAGCCCGAAAAUCUUUGGAAUUGGACCAUAUAUAAUCAGGAAAACUGGCCAACAGCAGAUAUUGUUUAAUCUGUUAUGGUCUCUUAAACAAGUCAAAUUGCUGAUGCAAAACAAUAUCUCAGAAAUACAACCAGCUUGUUCACCCUUUUUGCAGACCUCUUUUCAGGGUUGGACAACCUGGCUGCGACAGUGGAACCCUCCUAAAAACCGGGUGCCAAGAGACGUAACUGGUCUUGUGGGGACAGGAUUGGGAAUCCUAAAUAGUAUUGAUUCAGAAGUAUUAAUGAAUAAAUUGGCUUCCACAACUAAAGAUUUAACCAAAAUACAACAACCACUGCAAUCGUCCUUAUCAGCCUUGGGAACACAUCAGUGGUUGCUAUCAAACAUUCUACCAAAUUGGGAAAAGAUAAAUGUAAAUAAUAGCAAAUUGAUAAUUGAUGGACUUAAUGCCACACAAAGCAACGUUUCCUUAGCUCUUAGCUGUAUCCAGGCUCAAUUAUGGAUGCAGUCAGUUGCUGCCUCAAUUAUAAGAGAAGGUGAAGAAGGCACUUUUCCUACUGAGAUUAGGAAAAUAGUCUGGGACAGUGCCACUGACUUCGAAAGAGAUUUCCAAUCCUGGUGGAAUUUAGUGAAUUUUACCUAUGACCCUAACACAAACACAGCCACAGCAUUUGUGCUGACCAUAAGAAAUGCCUCGGUGCAUUUGAUAUUCCCUAUCAUUGCACUAGGAUUAAAUCAUGAUGGACCCACUUUCUAUCCUUCUGAACAUAGAGAAUGGGCCCGUCAAAUUGAUGACAAAUGGCAAACUGUCAAUUUAGAGUCCUGUACCAUCUGAGAACAACUAGGGUUUAUCUGUGAAGGUAAUGCAAUUGUAGCUCAAGAUAUUUGUCUGGACACAGAACAAAAUAGCUGUCAUUUUGAUAUUCAUCCUAACGAGACUUCUGAAACAGUCCUUGUAUAUACAGACAAUGGGUGUGCCUGCUUCAGAACCGCUUGUGAUACUGUGUUUAUAGAAAGUACAGUAGUAGAUACUAAAAAUCAUUCAAAUUUUUGUGCUUGUAACUUUACUAAAAUUGCAGGAUGUGAUUUUUCUUUUGUAGCUCCAGUUACUUCACAUGAACUUUUAGAAUCCAAUCUCACGUUGAUUCACAAGCUACUGCCUACUCCCAUUGGGAUGAACCUUACUCUGGUAAAGCAAUUAUUACUUCAUCAAGAUCUAAUAGAGAUCCUAGGAAAAAUCAAGGGGAAUGGACAGAAAACUCUGGUAACUGUUCAUCAUGAUGUGCAAGAAAUACAUCGUGUUGUAGAAAGGGUGAAAAGUGAUGCUGAGCACAAGUGGUGGGAUACCCUUUUCGGGUGGUCACCCACCACCACCGGUAUCCUGAACAAAUUGUGCCAUCCCAUUGUUGUUCUUCUGGUUUUAGUUAUGAUUGGUUUUGUUUUAUCAGUAAUCUUGCUUAUUGUAAAUUGGAGAAUGAUGAAACGAUGAACAAAAUUAACAUCUAUAAUUAAUGCACACCACUUGGCCGACAUCCUUUACACUAUAGAUGUUCCCAGGACUGUAGACACAAGAAGAUUAUAAGUUUUCCUGUUUUCUCUUUCUUUCCCUUUUCCUCUUCUCUUUUCCCUGCGACGUGCUGCCAACACUUGACGAGUCCUGAAGACUCCACGACGACACCAUGGAAUCCUGCUGAUGAAGAUCUUUCGAGGGCAAUCGUCAGUCACGGGGUGGUGUAAGAGCCCGUCUGAAGCCCCUCAUUUUCCAUUCUGCCUUCCGAUUGCCACAAGAAAGAAUCCCAUCCCCCACUGUAGUUCCGGCUUAGAACAGGACACAGCACAGGUGGAACCACUGAACCGUCACGCUGGCUGUUCCGAACAAGGCCUGGUAAGAACUUGGCAAGGACUUGGCAAGGACUUGGCAAAGACCUGACGUGGACCCAGCACGGGACAGCCUGAUGCGCGGCCUGCUUCUAAUCUCCGUUCUUAAGCCAAAUGAACUUUUGGGUGAUUCAAAUGGACUUAUUCUUCAUUGGAUUCGUCUUGCUUUGGUGGUUACUGUGGACUCACCUGUUCCCUCGGGGCGAUUACAAUGGACUUUCAUUAUUACACUUGUUCCCCCCCUCUCUCCUCUGUGGACUAUAAUUGGACCCCCAAGUCGACCAGAACUUCGAAGACUCCCCCGACACGACAGAUGGAUCCCCAUCGUCCGGAGCACUGAGGAUCUCGCCUGUGUUGGUAGCUAUUCCAUAUCCCUCUUCUCUCUCUAUCCUUUUAUCUCCUUUCAGAUCCCCACUAUCGCGUUUACUGUUUUGGCCCCUAAUAAAGGUGCAUUUGUUGUGAUUAA